rnacentral:rRNA from 1 species
GACCUUGAAAUACCACCCUUUAAUGUUUGAUGUUCUAACGUUGGCCCGUAAUCCGGGUUGCGGACAGUGUCUGGUGGGUAGUUUGACUGGGGCGGUCUCCUCCUAAAGAGUAACGGAGGAGCACGAAGGUUGGCUAAUCCUGGUCGGACAUCAGGAGGUUAGUGCAAUGGCAUAAGCCAGCUUGACUGCGAGCGUGACGGCGCGAGCAGGUGCGAAAGCAGGUCAUAGUGAUCCGGUGGUUCUGAAUGGAAGGGCCAUCGCUCAACGGAUAAAAGGUACUCCGGGGAUAACAGGCUGAUACCGCCCAAGAGUUCAUAUCGACGGCGGUGUUUGGCACCUCGAUGUCGGCUCAUCACAUCCUGGGGCUGAAGUAGGUCCCAAGGGUAUGGCUGUUCGCCAUUUAAAGUGGUACGCGAGCUGGGUUUAGAACGUCGUGAGACAGUUCGGUCCCUAUCUGCCGUGGGCGCUGGAGAACUGAGGGGGGCUGCUCCUAGUACGAGAGGACCGGAGUGGACGCAUCACUGGUGUUCGGGUUGUCAUGCCAAUGGCACUGCCCGGUAGCUAAAUGCGGAAGAGAUAAGUGCUGAAAGCAUCUAAGCACGAAACUUGCCCCGAGAUGAGUUCUCCCUGAGACUUAGAGUCUCCUGAAGGAACGUUGAAGACGACGACGUUGAUAGGCCGGGUGUGUAAGCGCAGCGAUGCGUUGAGCUAACCGGUACUAAUGAACCGUGAGGCUUAACCUU